rnacentral:rRNA from 1 species
UACGUAGGGUGCGAGCGUUGUCCGGAAUUAUUGGGCGUAAAGGGCUCGUAGGCGGUUUGUCGCGUCGGGAGUGAAAUCCACUGGCUUAACUGGUGGCUUGCUUUCGAUACGGGCAGACUGGAGGUAUGCAGGGGAGAACGGAAUUCCUGGUGUAGCGGUGAAAUGCGCAGAUAUCAGGAGGAACACCGAUGGCGAAGGCAGCUCGCUGGGACGGUACUGACGCUGAGGCGCGAAAGCGUGGGGAGCGAACAGG